rnacentral:rRNA from 1 species
UCGUGCUCUAAGCGUAGUAACCAAAUUCUCGCUUCUGAAGCCGGCCCGGGUCCUGCCGUAAAACCCCCUAUAUUUUUCUGGUUGACCUCGGAUCAGGUAGGAAUACCCGCUGAACUUAAGCAUAUCAAUAAGCGGAGGAAAAGAAACCAACAGGGAUUGCCCUAGUAACGGCGAGUGAAGCGGCAACAGCUCAAAUUUGAAAUCUGGCCUUCGGGUCCGAGUUGUAAUUUGCAGAGGAUGCUUUUGGCGCGGUGCCUUCCGAGUUCCCUGGAACGGGACGCCUUAGAGGGUGAGAGCCCCGUACGGUUGGACACCAAGCCUCUGUAAAGCUCCUUCGACGAGUCGAGUAGUUUGGGAAUGCUGCUCUAAAUGGGAGGUAAAUUUCUUCUAAAGCUAAAUACCGGCCAGAGACCGAUAGCGCACAAGUAGAGUGAUCGAAAGAUGAAAAGCACUUUGAAAAGAGGGUUAAAUAGCACGUGAAAUUGUUGAAAGGGAAGCGUUUACGGCCAGACCUUUUCCUGGCGGAUCAUCUGGUGUUCUCACCAGUGCACUUCGCCAGGUUUAGGCCAGCAUCGGCUUCUGUAGGGGGAUAAAAGCAGUGGGAAAGUAGCUCCCUCGGGAGUGUUAUAGCCCUAAGCAUAAUACC